rnacentral:rRNA from 1 species
AGCGAACGCUGGCGGCAGGCCUAACACAUGCAAGUCGAACGAACUCUUCGGAGUUAGUGGCGGACGGGUGAGUAACACGUGGGAACGUGCCUUUAGGUUCGGAAUAACUCAGGGAAACUUGUGCUAAUACCGAAUGUGCCCUUCGGGGGAAAGAUUUAUCGCCUUUAGAGCGGCCCGCGUCUGAUUAGCUAGUUGGUGAGGUAAAGGCUCACCAAGGCAACGAUCAGUAGCUGGUCUGAGAGGAUGACCAGCCACAUUGGGACUGAGACACGGCCCAAACUCCUACGGGAGGCAGCAGUGGGGAAUCUUGCGCAAUGGGCGAAAGCCUGACGCAGCCAUGCCGCGUGGAUGAUGAAGGUCUUAGGAUUGUAAAAUCCUUUCACCGGUGAAGAUAAUGACUGUAGCCGGAGAAGAAGCCCCGGCUAACUUCGUG